UACAGAGGUCUCAAGCGUUGUUCGGAUUCAUUGGGCGUAAAGGGUGCGUAGGCGGUCGCGCAAGUCGGAUGUGAAAUCUCAGGGCUCAACCCUGAAACUGCAUUCGAUACUGCGUGGCUAGAGUGCUGGAGAGGAGACUGGAAUUUACGGUGUAGCAGUGAAAUGCGUAGAUAUCGUAAGGAAGACCAGUGGCGAAGGCGAGUCUCUGGACAGCAACUGACGCUGAGGCACGAAGGCCAGGGGAGCAAACGGG
rnacentral:rRNA from 1 species